rnacentral:tRNA from 1 species
GCGCCUGUAGCUCAGCUGGAUAGAGCGCCGGACUACGAAUCCGUAGGUCGGGGGUUCGAAUCCCUCCAGGCGCGCCA